GACGAACGCUGGCGGCGUGCUUAACACAUGCAAGUCGAACGGAAAGGCCCUGCUUGUUUGGGGUGCUCGAGUGGCGAACGGGUGAGGAACACGUGAGUAACCUGCCCUUGACUUUGGGAUAACUUCAGGAAACUGGGGCUAAUACCGGAUAGGAGCUCCUGCUGCAUGGUGGGGGGUGGAACGUUUCGGCGGUUGGGGAUGGACUGGCGGCUUAUCAGCUUGUUGGUUGGGUAGUGGCUGACCAAGGCAUUGACGGGUAGCCGGCCUGAGAGGGUGACCGGCCACAUUACGCCUGAGAUACGGCCCAGAGUCGUACGGUAGGCAGUGGUGGGGAGUAUUACACAGUGGGCGGGAGCGUGAUGCAGCAACGCCGCGUGCGGGAUGCCGGCUUUCGGGUUGUAAACCGCUGUCGCCUGUGACGAAGCGUGAGUGACGGUAAUGGGUAAAGAAGCACCGGCUAACUACGUG
rnacentral:rRNA from 1 species